AGUGAACGCUGGCGGUAGGCCUAACACAUGCAAGUCGAACGGCAGCACAGGAGAGCUUGCUCUCUGGGUGGCGAGUGGCGGACGGGUGAGGAAUACAUCGGAAUCUGCCCAGUCGUGGGGGAUAACGUAGGGAAACUUACGCUAAUACCGCAUACGACCUUCGGGUGAAAGAGGGGGAUCGCAAGACCUCUCGCGAUUGGAUGAGCCGAUGUCGGAUUAGCUAGUUGGCGGGGUAAUGGCCCACCAAGGCGACGAUCCGUAGCUGGUCUGAGAGGAUGAUCAGCCACACUGGAACUGAGACACGGUCCAGACUCCUACGGGAGGCAGCAGUGGGGAAUAUUGGACUAUGGGCGCAAGCCUGAUCCAGCCAUACCGCGUGGGUGAAGAAGGCCUUCGGGUUGUAAAGCCCUUUUGUUGGGAAAGAAAUCUUUCAGGCUAAUACCCUGGGAGGAUGACGGUACCCAAAGAAUAAGCACCGGCUAACUUCGUG
rnacentral:rRNA from 1 species